UACGGGGGGAGCAAGCGUUGUUCGGAUUUACUGGGCGUAAAGGGCGCGUAGGCGGCCACCGCAAGUCGGUUGUGAAAUCUCUGGGCUUAACCCAGAAAGGUCAACCGAUACUGCGGGGCUAGAGUGCAGAAGGGGCAACUGGAAUUCUCGGUGUAGCGGUGAAAUGCGUAGAUAUCGAGAGGAACACCUGCGGCGAAGGCGGGUUGCUGGGCUGACACUGACGCUGAUGCGCGAAAGCCAGGGGAGCGAAGCGGG
rnacentral:rRNA from 1 species